UACAGAGGUGGCAAGCGUUGUUCGGAAUUACUGGGCGUAAAGGGCGCGUAGGCGGCCUUCUAAGUCAGACGUGAAAUCCCCAGGCUUAACUUGGGAACUGCGUCUGAUACUGGGAGGCUUGAGUGCGGGAGAGGGAUGUGGAAUUCCAGGUGUAGCGGUGAAAUGCGUAGAUAUCUGGAGGAACACCAAUGGCGAAGGCAGCUCGCUGGGACGUGACUGACGCUGAGACGCGAAAGCGUGGGGAGCAGACAGG
rnacentral:rRNA from 1 species